AUAUGCAUGGGAAUGCAGGUGCCCAAGAAGGCCAGGGGCAUUAGAUCCCCUGGAGCUGGAGUUCCAGGAAGUCGUGAGCUGCUUAUAUAGCUUCAAACUUCAGUCCCCAACUCUCCAGCUCCCUCCAAACCUUUUUUAUUUUCAUGAAUUAUCUUUGUGGUUGGAGAACCUGGUCUGCCCACGUGCUAUCGAUUCCCUGACUUCCCUGAGAUUAGCUCUGUGAACCCUGAGGGAUGUGCGUUGAGCUCUGCUGGUGAACUUCGACGGUGUUCGGAUGUCUGUGCCCACAGGUGAGCGGGGGUGGUGGCUUCGUCUCUUCCAGUGCCGCACUCUUAGGGAAGCUUCUAGGUCAAUGGCACUUGACCUUCCGACUAGGGUGAGGCGCCUCAGUACACACAUGGCUAAGAGCACAACACGGAUGCCAGCCCAAGAAACCAACUCAGACAUCUUCAACUAGUGUCCAAUAGACUUACUCUCAGGGCUGCAAUGGCUGAGCUCCUGAGUCACCGCCAGAGGGUGUGCCCAAAGGCCUGUGAUCACCCCAGCCGUCAGGGGAUUAUAAAGUUGUGGAAGGAGAAAUUCUCCUCCUACAAGCAGGUGUGCAACAAGGAAGGGCCCGAGACUCUGCAUUCGGACUUCCUGCAGGACAUAGGUCGAGCUGAGGUCGAGUGGAGCUGAGAACAUCGCUCAAUAGUAAGACCUGCUUUUUCAUUGGCUGCGUGACCUUGACCUCUCUGCUUCUGUAUUUUUCUAGGAGGGAUGAUUGGUUUUUUUUUUGUUUUGUUUUCCUUGUUCGUUUUGUUUUUGAGACAGGGUUUCUGGUGUAAUAGCCCUGGCUGUCCCGAAACUCCAUUUAGACCAGGCCUCAAACAGAGAUCCAUCUGCCUCUGCCCGCCAAGUGCUGGGACUAAAGAUGUGUGCCACCACUGCCUGGCUGAGAGUGACUGUUAAUGCUUAUGGUCAACUCUAGUCAUGUCUAUGAGGGCAUUUCCGGAGAUGAUCAAUUAGGAUGGGGAUACACCAGCUCUGAAUGCGGGUGGCCCCAUCUCAUAGCCUGAGUGAAGGCCAUAGCCCUCUAGUGUGGACACUCUCCAUUCCUGUUUCUUGAUCACCAUGAGGGACCAGCCUCUUCUCUCACACCCUCCUGCUACCACAUCUCCGUCCCAGAGCAUCAGGGCUGAAGAAACAAUGACGGAAACACAGAAGCCGUGAGGCAAAGCAAUUCCUCCCUUUACGGUGGUUUCUCUUGGGGCCUUGGUCAGUGACAAAACUGUCCUCCCUGAUGGUCAGAGCACAGAAUGCAGGGCUAUCUUGUUUCAGCUAAGUCCCUUGGGUAGUAGGCCAUCCAUCUGCCCUUAUAGGGAAUCAGAGCAAAUCUGGGCAGGAAGACAGUGUCUGAUUGCCAAAGGCAUCAGAUACAUUACAAAGCAAAUGUUUUGCCAAAAUGACAGGAAUGUGGUGCUUCACUUUCUUUUUCUUUAAAGAGUUCUUUUCAUUAAUUCUGUUAUUAAAAUACAAAAACAGCCUUCAGUGGAAACACACUGGCAGGGCCAGGAGGUCAGUUGCCUGACUGGGCUGUUGAAGUUCUAUCUGUGUGGCCAGGUUAUUUUGAAGCCCUGAAUCUGGGAUGGAGAUGCCAGAGUGUCUGAGGCAGGGACAACAGGCUGGCUCUUCAAGGAUGGGAGAUCUGGGACCUGAAAUUGGGCGUUGGGAAGAAAAGAUUUGCCAGCUCAGAACACACACUGUUCCCAGAACUGAGAGUGGUCACUUCAGUCGCCAUCCCUACCCCGACUCAAGACACCUUUUCCAGUUUCUUCUGUUACGAUCCCAAUGCUCUGGGAGGCUGACGUAGUUCAGAGCCAAGUUCCCUGACACAUGUUACCCCUUAGAUCUACAUGGCGUUUAAAGGGCUACAUGUCAGCAUCUAAAGGCCUGCACACUAGGGACUGCGUAAUCUGCCUGCAGAGAAACCCAGAGCUCAGGAAAGCUAACUGACCUGAGGUCACACAGCUGCCUGUAUCGAGAGCCAGGCUUUCCGACUCGGGGUCAGUCCCACUGCCUUUGCGCGGCUUGCUUUGGCUUGCUUCAGUUUGCGUCAUAUUUCAGCCUUGAGAAGCAGGACUGAUACAAAGAAGAGUCCUAUGGGUUGAGCUGCAUGGAGCAGUUCAUCCAUACAGGGCACUGGCAGAGGAAGGUAGGCCUUCUCGGUUCCCAGAAGCUGUGUUUUAGAUUAAGCCAACCUGGAAAGGCUGUGAUCUAAGUGGCCACAGGAUAGUGCAAGAGGGGAAAUAAUGGCCAGGGAACUGAACAACUGACUCGAGGGAACUUCUUGUUUCUUUCUCUUCUGCUUUAAAUCAGUGGGUAUGCAUAGACGAGGUCAUGAGCAUGCAUUUGUGUGCCCGUGUGUGUGGAGGCCAGAGGUCAGCUCUCCUAGCGUCUUCCUUGAUUAUUCUCUGACUCAUUUCUGACACAGGAUCUCUUACUGAACUGGGAGUCCACUGAUUUCAGCUGGGCUGGUCGGCCAGCAAAUCUUGUCUGUCAUCUCAGCUCUGGGAUAACUGUUGAUAUGGAUGCCACGGUGCCCAAUGUUUUACAUGGAUGCUGGCGACCAACUCAGACCCUCGUGCUUGCACGCGCUCCAGAGUCACCAGGAGUCAAAGGAACCCAAGAUAGGUGUUCUAGGAACAUUUGUCACCUAACAUACAGCCUCGACAAUUAACCUGAAGAGGAAAAUCCACCUGAGACCGUGCUCUGGCAUGUUUUGGGAAGAGGGAUCCUUCCAAAGACCAGAGCUUUUCUCAGAGCCCCUGUAGCCCCUCAGGACCUCCCACAGCACCUGGCUCUACCUUCUGUACCCCAGUGAGAAUCAGGCAUGGAAGACGCCCCUAGAUCGUAUGACACUGACAACUGCAGACUUCUGUCUCUUGUCUUUUAUUCCCAAAUCCAUGUCCCUGGCUCCCCUGGGAACAUCCUGAGUCGGGGGGUCCCUGCAGAAAAGAAUACCAAGGCAGAAGAUACAGUGUGUUUAUCUGUGCACACGUAGGGCAUACGCCUGGUAACUGUCACCCUCUGAGCUCCCCAGUGUGCUUGGUGAGAAUGUUAAAAAUAGCGCAGGAGGAAGAUCGGAGAUGCUCAAGAGGCAGGAGAGGUUCGAUUUCAAAUUCUUCUUCCCAGAAGAACACGUCACCACGGUUUGGGGAGCUUCCAUCUCUUGGCCACAAGCCCAGCGACUGAUGUGGACACAGUUUCAGUGACAUUUAUACUGUAGGCAUCCCUGUGGUCACAGCAGGCCCAGGGAAGGGGGAGUGAGUGGCCCACCUCCAGUGCCACCAACCCUUGUGAAACUGUGGCUUGCAAGGAACCCAAGGAGCUAGUGGGUGCAUCUAUCUGUUCUCUUUGCCCCUCGCCCCUGAGACCAAGACACCAAAGGUGGCGGAGGUGGGGGUGGGGGAAAGGCGGACUCAGUGUCUGGGUGAGGAGAACACCGCCCAUGAAGAACUACCUCUGUGAGGCUUGGUUAUGUCAGGCCUUCCCAUCCAAGGCUUCUGAAAUGAAUGUCUCUAGACUAGGACAGGCAGGGCCUAUUUCAUUGCUGGGCCACUUCUGAUUUCUGUGGUCACCUGGAGAGGCCAGGUGACAUCAGCACCUUCUACUCCCUGACAGGAAACCAAGGCAGGCAUUUCUGCUGGUGUCGCUGCUCCGUCACCUCAUGAUAGUGCCUUGAACCCCCCCCCCCCGGUGACCAUGAAGCAUGGGGGGCUGUAGAAGCUGUGAGAAAAGCAGGCUGACACUGCCCUGUGUGGGUCACCCACAGACAUCGGGACUUGAAGGAGACCCGGGUGCUGGGAACCCUCUGGAUAGCUCUGACUCUCUGUCAUUCCCCUUGGGUAAAGUCAGAGAAAAUCCAGUCAGGGGUGUUUAGAGGAAAGGGCAGGGUCCAAGAUCUAGCAACAAAGGCACUUUUGAUACAGGAAACAAAACAAACCCUGUCAAUGCGGCUAACCAACCCGUAAACCAUAGAGAGUAAAGGGGGAAAAAAUCAUUUUCACACCCAAAGUCUGAGAAUAAUGGGAUGGAGGGGUGGGGGAGGGUCAACUAACCUCUGACCUCAUUAAAACAUGCUCAUGGUGAAAAUUUAUUUUACAUAUUUAAAAUAUCACAUUUAAAAUUAUUAGUUACAUUACAGGUACAAUGAUAAACAUUGUGGCUCCUCCUAUUGCACAACCUGACUUCAUCCAUAGGGGUUUCUUUAAAUAGUGCAAAAUGCUUUAUACAGGAAUGUGUUCAGAAUGUUUUUUUUUUUUUGCAAUCAAAAUAAGGAAAAGAAAUAUCUUACAAGUUACCAUGAACAUAUAUAUUAAAGUGACAGGGGAGGAGAGAAAUAAAAAUAAAAAAGUUACAAUCUGUACAGAGAGGAAUUACCAUGGACAACCAAAAAAAAAAAAAAAA
rnacentral:sRNA from 1 species